rnacentral:tRNA from 4 species
UGGCCCUUGGUGUAAUUGGUAACACACCAGACUCUGGAUCUGGGUUUCGGGGUUCGAGUCCCUGAGGGCCAGCCA